CACAGGCAGACUGUACACAGGUGCACCCAGCAGCCUCAUUAUUAAGUGCCACUUUUCCCACGGGCUUUUUUUUAAUGUUUUCUAAAAGGUAUCACUGCUAAAUCCUCGUAUUUUGUGCAUUUUCUGUGAUGAGACUUAAAUGCAGAGGAGCAAAUCUGACACAUUUCAGCAUAUUUCCAUCUUCUUUAGAGUGAAGCUGGAAUUAAUUCCCUGAACCUGGGCAAGAUCUGUACCACUGCAAGCCAGCAGUAAGGUGGAGCACCCUGGGAAGUAACGUUUUCUACAAGUGACAUUUUUGAUGGUUGUUUACAAGACCUUGGUGAAGUCAUCUCCGAAAAUUCCUUGUUAAAGGAUCAUUUAAGAAUUAAGCAUACUACUUGAACUUUUAUUUCGUUAAGAACUUUUCUUAGAAAUAAACCAACUAGAAAUAAAAAGAAUAGUAACCCGUCCCAGGAAAAGUCAUGAUAUCAAGCCAUAAAAGAGCACAAACUAUUGCAAAGGAGAAAUGGAUUGCAGACAGAGAAAUCAAAACAGUUUCACUCGUUAAAACAGAAAAAGGCAUGUUGAGGCUUAUCAGGAUUAUUUUUCAAAGCACACAAGAAUGUUCAUUAAUUGCAGUGAGUAACACCAUGUCCAAUGGUGGAGUACUGAGAGCCUUUCAAAUUUAUGCAUCUACUAACCAAUGGCUUCACAUCUACAUACAGGGUCAAAAUCUUGUAUCUUUGAAGUGUGAGCUGGAUGACCAAAUUCUCUGCAGAGAUAGUCUUAGCUUCUAAUUCACUGAAGGAUUACAGAGGGUAUUUAUGGACUUUCUACAAGUAGUUUGGUUUGGGAUUGUAGACAGCUGGGGCACAAGUUGCCGUAGUGACCUUUUUUGUUCACCCAUGAGGGUUCAUCCAAUAUUUGUGUUGGUGCAUUCUGUAUUCAAGCAGCAAUUCAUAGGCUGGCUUUCAGGCAUAUAUAAUUAAUCACUAAGAAUAAUUUUGGGUGCUAAUGGAUAUAAAAAUCUCAAUGUCUAGAAGACUGGUCCAGUAAUGGCUGUAGACCCAAUAUAAAUAUAUUAAAUUUUCUGUAAUAACUUUGAUAAAUACUAAACAAUAUUCUUCAACUCAAUCAUAUUGUUUUUGCUUUUCAAUGUAUGCUUUGUGUAUGGGUGUUUCAAGAUAAUCUCCUUUACCCAGACUACUGUACACAGGCAUUAAUGUCAGGACAUUAAUGUCUGUUUUCUAAAAUGGGAUGUUCUAAAUGCUGUGUGCCCCAUGCAGAGUGCAGACACCCAUAGUUUGAAGCAUGCUUGUCCUUUGAUUCCGCAUCAGUGGUGCAAGAUGUAAUAGAAAUAAGCAGCAUUUCUGAUUAGCAAAAUCCUCUGCGUCAAUGAGGACAUCAUGCAAGAAGCAUCCCUCCACCCUGUUCCAACCAUGCAUUCAACAAAAGCAAUUUUCACUUUACCUGUAAUGCUCCACCACUGAUGAGGAAAGGGCCUUAGAAGACAUUAUCUACACCACAAACACACGAAUGCUUGUGUCAAUUCCAGGGAGCACAUUAUAACUGUAUCAACAAGACUUGCCAAGACAUGUAGCUAUGGCAUUCUUUGCCUGCAAUUUAGCUAAGUUGGCAAACUGAGAAGUUCAGGUGUAUUAACAAUCAGAAUCUGAAUAUUAUUUUUUAUUACUUUUAUUACUUUUACACAUGAGAAGAUAUGUCAGUAUUUAAAAACCUAGUGUUAUCAAAAAUUCCCGUGGAGUAUCACAGUAAGAUGUGUAUUUUGGAGAACAAAGUGAAAUGUAUUAAAAUUACAAAAAAUAAAAAGAAAACUGCUGUAUUCUCUUAAUGUCCAAAAAACCUGCAUAUUAAAAUCUUUGAUUGCAUUAAGAACUGCAAUCCUUUUUAGGAAUAAUUUAUGCAUGGGAUUAAGCUAAUAAUUUUUGAAGACUAUAUAUGAGCAUGUUUCUUUUAACUUUACUACUUCUUUUCUGGAACAGUUUCUUUGUUUUACUUCAAGAACACCUUGCAAAAACUCUACCACUAUGUCUUAAUUGAUAGCCUGAUAUUAAAGAUGCUGUUUGUGGAAGACUGCUGGCAGAAGUGUUCCUGCAGGGAACAGACGAAUGAGCAGGGCAGCUGGGCACACUGCACACUGAACCUGACCUGGCAGCAGGGACUGGCAGCCCAGGGAGGCAGGCACUCGCCAUGUGCUCCCAGUGCAGUUGUGAAUAGCAGCCCUGAGAACAAGCUCAGGUGCUAUCAGUCAUCAGGAAUUUCUAAGAUGCUUCUCAUUUUUACUGUAUUCAAAACCGAUGUACUUCCUGUAUGUUCUCAACAAACAAUAAAGUUUUAAACCGUUAAAA